UGAGAUUUUGAUGGUAAGGAUAGGUUCGGACAAGGCUCUAAUUCACUGAAUAUCCUUUCUCUCUUGAAUUUUGGCUAAAAUUCUUGUCGGCUUUUAGCAGGAUUUUGCAGGUGAGGAUUAGAUUGGUAUCAGAGCAUCACAUUUUUUGCCUUAUUUGCAAUGCAUUUAUAAAUUUUUAAAUCUCCAUGCUGGACAGACACCCAAAUUUAAAGGUUUUCUAUAUAUUUACAUAAGCACGCACACAUCUUAGUUCCUUGAAACCAUACAUUUUAUUUGUAUAUAAGCUUGAAUGAAUUUUCAAGAAAAUAAAAUCAUAAAUCCAUGAAAUUCUAAAGAUUUAUUGUAAAAUAACUGGUUUCUGCCACCACAG
rnacentral:lncRNA from 1 species